rnacentral:rRNA from 1 species
CCUACGGGUGGCAGCAGUGAGGAAUAUUGGUCAAUGGGCGCUAGCCUGAACCAGCCAAGUAGCGUGAAGGAUGACUGCCCUAUGGGUUGUAAACUUCUUUUAAAUGGGAAUAAAGUGCAGUAUGUAUACUGCUUUGCAUGUAACGUCUGAAUAAGGAACGGCUAACUCUGUGCCAGCAGCAGCGGUAAUACGGAGGAUGCGAGCGUUAUCCGGAUUGAGUGGGGUUAAAGGGAGCGUAGGCGGGUUGUUAAGUCAGUUGUGAAAGUUUGCGGCGCAACCGUAAAAUUGCAGUUGAUACUGGCAUCCUUGAGUACAGUAGAGGUAGGCGGAAUUCGUGGUGUAGCGGUGGAAUGCGUAGAUAUCACGAAGAACUCCGAUUGCGAAGGCGGCCUGCUGGACUGUAACUGACGCUGAUGCUCGAAAGUGUGGGUAUCAAACAGGAUUAGAUACCCGAGUAGUC